GACGUAGGGCGCGAGCGUUGUCCGGAUUUAUUGGGCGUAAAGAGCUCGUAGGCGGCUUGUCGCGUCAACUGUGAAAACCCGUGGCUCAACCAUGUGGUCUGCAGUCGAUACGGGCAGGCUAGAAUUCGGUAGGGGAGACUGGAAUUCCUGGUGUAGCGGUGAAAUGCGCAGAUAUCAGGAGGAACACCGGUGGCGAAGGCGGGUCUCUGGGCCUUACCUGACGCUGAGGCGCGAAAGCUAGGGGAGCGAACAGG
rnacentral:rRNA from 1 species